GUGCUCGCUUUGGCAGCACAUAUGCUAAAACUAGAACGAUACAGAGAACAUUAGUAUGGCCCCUGUGCAAGGAUGACAUGCAAAUUCAUGAAGCGUUCCAUAAAAAA
ensembl:snRNA U6 U6 spliceosomal RNA